UGGGGAAUUUUGGACAAUGGGCGCAAGCCUGAUCCAGCAAUGCCGCGUGAGUGAAGAAGGCCUUCGGGUUGUAAAGCUCUUUCAGUUGAGAAGAAAAAAUUCUGGCUAAUAUCCAGAAUUCAUGACGGUAUCGACAGAAGAAGCACCGGCUAACUACGUGCCAGCAGCCGCGGUAAUACGUAGGGUGCAAGCGUUAAUCGGAAUUACUGGGCGUAAAGGGUGCGCAGGUGGUUUUGUAAGUCAGAUGUGAAAUCCCCGGGCUUAACCUGGGAAUUGCGUUUGAAACUACAAGACUAGAGUGUGGCAGAGGGGGGUGGAAUUCCAUGUGUAGCAGUGAAAUGCGUAGAGAUAUGGAAGAACAUCGAUGGCGAAGGCAGCCCCCUGGGUUAACACUGACACUCAGGCACGAAAGCGUGGGGAGCAAACAGG
rnacentral:rRNA from 1 species